UACGAGGGGUGCAAGCGUUGCUCGGAAUUAUUGGGCGUAAAGGGUAGGUAGGUGGUCUCAUUUGUCUGGGGUGAAAGCCUUGAGCUUAACUCAAGAAGUGCCCCAGAAACGGUGAGACUCGAGUACUGGAGAGGGUUGUGGAAUUCCCGGUGUAGCGGUGAAAUGCGUAGAGAUCGGGAGGAACACCAGAGGCGAAGGCGGCGACCUGGACAGUUACUGACACUCAACUACGAAAGCGUGGGGAGCAAACAGG
rnacentral:rRNA from 1 species